AGCGAACGCUGGCGGCAGGCCUAACACAUGCAAGUCGAACGAACCUUUCGGGGUUAGUGGCGGACGGGUGAGUAACACGUGGGAACGUGCCUUUAGGUUCGGAAUAACUCAGGGAAACUUGUGCUAAUACCGAAUGUGCCCUUCGGGGGAAAGAUUAAUCGCCUUUAGAGCGGCCCGCGUCUGAUUAGCUAGUUGGUUGAGGUAAUGGCUCACCAAGGCGACGAUCAGUAGCUGGUCUGAGAGGAUGAUCAGCCACAUUGGGACUGAGACACGGCCCAAACUCCUACGGGAGGCAGCAGUGGGGAAUCUUGCGCAAUGGGCGAAAGCCUGACGCAGCCAUGCCGCGUGAAUGAUGAAGGUCUUAGGAUUGUAAAAUUCUUUCACCGGGGACGAUAAUGACGGUACGCGGAGAAGAAGCCCCGGCUAACUUCGUG
rnacentral:rRNA from 1 species